rnacentral:lncRNA from 1 species
UUCAGGUGCAUUGUACGUGUCCUGGUCAUCUAUUUAAUGACCGUAGUCCGGCAACGGUUUGGAGAGAUUCAGCUCCCAGUUCCAGUGGUGCUAAAUACGUGCACAACCUUAUGUGCAAUAAUGGUAAUGAUGACUUAAUGACAAAACGAGGACGUUAUGGUGGAGGUGGGAGCCGGUCAAGAGGACGUUUCUAUUUUUACAAAAAAUAAAAAAUGGCUGCAUUAGUUUUCAAUAAACGUUAUGCUCAUUUAAAUGAAAUGAUAUAUAAACUUGAAGUUAAAAAGACUACAAUGCAUAUUCAAUUACCAUACCGCCGGUGAAAGGUUUAUUUUGAUUUAUUUAAAAAAAAUGAAAUAAAAGAACCCGCACUAUUGUUGAGAUAAGCAAUUGUUUUAAACGAGCCUAAUCAGCGCUAUAAAUACAACAAACAUGACAACCACAACUUUUGACAAAUGGGUCACUCUAGAGCUGUAUCGCAUAACAUUUAUACCAGUAAAACAAAUCUUAUUCUACACUCAAUGACUUUACAAACGCCUUAUUCAUUCUUACGGCAAUUAUUUCAUUCUUGCAAUUUGUGUAGAAAAAUUUUGUUAUUCAUUAUCUCCAAUGAUGUACAGCACAUCUUUUGUGAAUCAUUAUAUCUGCACGAGGACCUUUCGAUGUAAUUCAUGACAUACAAUAUUCAAAGCGUUGAUAUACAAAAUGCUGUAUAUCGCGACGCGACAAGAUCAAACAACAUCCAAUUACUUCAAUAGAUUUUUAAUAGAGUAAUAAAAUAAGAAUCUAUAAUUACAAACAUUUCCUAGACAGGCUGUGGUAAAGUGAACCUUAUUUGACACCACCACGCGAACAAUUUAGUUUGCGUCAAAGUCACAUGUGUUGGCGUGUUGCUACGUAAAGUCAGCCGCAUAUUUUAUCAUUGGAAAAAAUGGUCAAUUUACUUACCUGUUAACGAUGUAUAGGCCAAAAGAGAGAUUCGAUAUUCAGAACUUAUUGGCGGUAAUCACGUUUCUGUUUGUACAGACAAAAUUUCACCUUAAAACACUUACCUUUUAUGUAUGUUUUACAAAUAUGUAUACUAUGAAAUUUUUCUUAAUGUCUAGAUCAGGCGUUUUAAUGUUCUUAAGUGUUUAUCAGCCCAUCGAAGCAACUGAAUAUCUGUGCGUUUACAGACUUUGAAUGUUCUUAAAUUUGCAGGAAUGUGCGCCGUGCAACAUGAAUACUUAGAAAAAGACUCUUUAUUUUUUUACUCGAUAUUCAUUUUUAUCAACUGCAUAACAUACUAAUUUUAAGUAAAAUGGGUCAAAGAAAACGUCUAUAAAAUUUGUUAAUUUAAAAGCAAUCUUACUUUGUACUGUGAAAAAGAUAUAUUGUGUUAAAAUAAAGCUCCUUACAAAGUU